GCACCACAGCAAACCCGUUCUUUCCUGUUCAGUGUUUGUGGCGGGCAGUGAUGGUGCCACAGAAAGUCAGAGUCUAUCCAGAUGGCCCUCCUCUUCAGUGGAGCCUGUCUCUACAGCUUUGACACAUUU